CAGUCUGUUUCUUUACCCAUAGGGUGAGUGAACAUGUUUAACACGCAAGAGAAAGUGUGGAGUUAUUAGGGCCGCCUGUCUUAAAGCACAGACUGAGCAGUGGUAUAAAACUCCCAACAUUA